rnacentral:rRNA from 1 species
CGGGGGAUUAGGGUUCGAUUCCGGAGAGGGAGCCUGAGAAACGGCUACCACAUCUAAGGAAGGCAGCAGGCGCGCAAAUUACCCAAUUCUAACAGUUUGAGAGAGGUAGUAACAAGAAAUAACAAUACAAGGCAGUUAAAAUGCUUUGUAAUUGGAAUGAUAGAAAUUUAAACCCUUUUUAAAGUAUCAAUUGGAGGGCAAGUCUGGUGCCAGCAGCCGCGGUAAUUCCAGCUCCAAUAGCGUAUAUUAAAAUUGUUGCAGUUAAAAAGCUCGUAGUUGAAGUUCUGCURAAAGUAACCGGUCUGCUUUUAAUAAAAGUGGUAUCUUGGUAUGUAUUUAGCAAUGAUGUCCUUUGAAGUGUUUUUUACUUUAUUGUAAUAAAGCAUAUUCAGGACUUUUACUUUGAGAAAAUUAGAGUGUUUCUAGCAGGCUGACGCUUUGAAUACUGCAGCAUGGAAUAAUAAGAUAGGAUUUUAGUUCUACAUUAUUGGUUUUAAGAGCUAAAUUAAUGAUUGAUAGGGACAGUUGGGGGCAUUUGUAUUUAACUGUCAGAGGUG